ensembl:snRNA U6 U6 spliceosomal RNA
GUGCUCUCUUUGGCAGCACAUAUACUAAAAAAUUAGAAUGAUACAGAGAUUAGCAUGGCCCCUGCACAACAAUAUCAUGCAAACUUAUGAAAUAUUCCAUAUUUUU